rnacentral:rRNA from 1 species
GAUGAACGCUGGCGGCGUGCUUAAUACAUGCAAGUCGAGCGAACAGACGAGGAGCUUGCUCCUCUGACGUUAGCGGCGGACGGGUGAGUAACACGUGGAUAACCUACUUAUACGACCGGGAUAACUUCGGGAAACCGGAGCUAAUACCGGAUAAUAUAUUGAACCGCACGGUUCAUUAGUGAAAGACGGUUUUGCUGUCACUUAUAGAUGGAUCCGCGCCGCAUUAGCUAGUUGGUAAGGUAACGGCUUACCAAGGCAGCGAUGCGUAGCCGACCUGAGAGGGUGAUCGGCGACCCUGGAGCUGAGACACGGUCCAGACGCCUACGGGAGGCAGCAGUAGGGAAUAUUCCGCAAUGGGCGGAGGCAUGCCGGAGCAGCGCCGCGUGGGUAAUGAAGGUCUUCGGAGCGUAAAAAUCUGUUAUUAGGGAAGAACAAAUGUGUAAGUGACUAUGCGCGUCUUGACGGUACCUAGUCAGAAAGCCACGGCUAACUACGUG